UAUGAAAAUGAAGUGGGCAGGAAGGCCCAGGGUCCUGGGGCCAGUGCCUGCUGGGUGUCCACGGGCUGGUCUCCUUGGUCUCCACACCCACCCACCUGCCCUUUCCUGACCAUCCAGCCCCCCGGCAGCCUGACCUCACCCACCCUGCCCUGCCCAGCCAACCUCCACCCCUAGCCUGGCAGCCUGACCCCACCCAUGCUGCCCUGCCCAGCCAGCCCCCCCCAACCCCACCCACGCUGCCACAUCCUGCCCUCAUUGCCUCGCCCCAGAUCCUAAGAGCCACGGGCAAUCGUUCUCACUCACUGGCCAGGCAGGGAGCCGAAGUGUGAUUUAAUUAAUUAACAGGUCCUCGGCGGCAGCGGGGAGCAAGUUUUCAGCACGACCCAGUUUGACUGCUACACAGGAACAAUCGGCAGGCAGGUGCCUGAGCCCGGCCUCCCGUCCCAGAGUGCCUGUGGGUGCAAAGCCAGCUCACUCCCUGGUCCCUCCCUCUCCCCCACCAUGUAGGGCCUGCAGAGGACCUGAGGAGCUCGGCUGUCAGUUUCAGGCUCCCACCCAGCACCCUGGCUGUCCUGGCCCCGGGCACUGCAGAUGCAGGUGGCUGGUGGAGAGCGUUGGUAAAGAAUGAGUCUGGGGGCAGAGCUGGACUCUGAGAGGGUGACCACUUCAGGUGGCCUGGCAUCCAAACCCAGCCCCUCCUGGACACACCCCUGCCCUCUGGCUCAGUCUCUGAUCCCUGUAAAGUGGGACAAGCAUCCCCACCUGAGCAUGUGCAGAUAAGCGAGGUGCCAUUCCAGGACCUGGCAGGGGCCAGCGGAGGUGAUCUUCCUGCCUUGGCCUCCCAUGGUCCUGGGAUCGCAGGUGUGCGCCCUGUGUCCAGCUUGUGCUUAUGUGUAACCAUCAGCAUAGUGAGGACACAGCACAGUUUCUUCCCCCGCCCGGUGCCUCUGGCUCCCAGCUGUGCCUCGCCCCGCCCCUGCCGCCUGCAACUGUGCGCGUGAUCUCUGCCGCUGUAGACCUGCCUUCCUGAGAACAUCACGCGGAUGGAGUCA
rnacentral:lncRNA from 1 species